CCAUGCCACCAGCUUUCAUCCCGGGCACAUCAUACAAUCCAUUGUCUACAGCCAAGCACUGAGGUACAAUCGCAUCUGCUCUAACCCCUCAGACAGAGACCAACACCUACA